rnacentral:tRNA from 1 species
ACUAUUUUGGCAGACUUUAUUGUAUUAACCUUAGAAGUUAAAUUAUAUAUAAUAUUAUAUAAAUAGUA